rnacentral:rRNA from 1 species
AAUCAACGCUGGCGGCGUGCCUAACACAUGCAAGUCGAACGAGAAAGGGUAGCAAUACCUGAGUAAAGUGGCGCACGGGUGAGUAACACGUGACUAACCUACCUUUGAGUGGGGGAUAACUGAGGGAAACCUUAGCUAAUACCGCAUAAUACCCACGGGUCAAAGAAGCAAUUCGCUUAAAGAGGGGGUCGCGGCCGAUUAGUUAGUUGGCGGGGUAAUGGCCCACCAAGACAGUGAUCGGUAUCCGGCCUGAGAGGGCGCACGGACACACUGGAACUGAAACACGGUCCAGACUCCUACGGGAGGCAGCAGUGGGGAAUUUUGCGCAAUGGGGGAAACCCUGACGCAGCAACGCCGCGUGGAGGAUGAAGUACUUCGGUACGUAAACUCCUUUCGAUCGGGACGAUAAUGACGGUACCGGAAGAAGAAGCCCCGGCUAACUUCGUGCCAGCAGCCGCGGUAAUACGAGGGGGGCAAGCGUUGUUCGGAAUUAUUGGGCGUAAAGGGUGCGUAGGCGGUUUGGUAAGUCUUGUGUGAAAUCUCCGGGCUCAACUCGGAGUCUGCAUAGGAAACUGCCG